rnacentral:rRNA from 1 species
UGGUGGAGUGAUUUGUCUGGUUAAUUCCGAUAACGAUCGAGACCGAAUUCUACUAAAUACGUUACGGUUAUAAUUUAGCCCUCGUGGCUGAUUUAUAGCCGGCUAACUUCUUAGAGAGACUACCGGCGUCAAGUCGGAGGAAGCUUUCGGCAAUAACA